GCAAGAUAUAUAUACACAUGAAAUUGAUUUUAGUUAUAAAAAUUCAUACAAUUUGUAAAGCUUAGAUAUAUUCGGUAGAGGCGAGCAAGAGAGACAGAGAAACAAGCGAGAGAGCUAGUGUAUCAAAUAUACAUACAAACCCCGUUUAGAUACAUUAUAUCUAAAACAAAUUACACUUAAUGUGACCGGCAUAUACCUAGGAGUGGCAAGUUUCGAA
rnacentral:misc_RNA from 1 species